AUUCCAGCUCCAAUAGCGUAUAUUAAAGUUGUUGCAGUUAAAAAGCUCGUAGUUGAAUUUCUGUACAGUCCCGGUUCUGGCUUCGGUCAAGCCGUGGAUUGUGCAUCCGCUUGCAAAUCUAGCUCGGCCUUCACUGGUCGACUAGGGGGGUAAGCCCUUUACUUUGAAAAAAUUAGAGUGUUUCAGGCAGGCAAUGGCUCGAAUACAUUAGCAUGGAAUAAUGGAAUAGGACUUUUGUCCAUUUGGUUGGUUAUUGGACAUGAGUAAUGAUUAAAAGGGACAGUUGGGGGCAUUAGUAUUUAAUAGUCAGAGGUGAAAUUCUUGGAUUUAUUAAAGACUAACUUAUGCGAAAGCAUUUGCCAAGGAUGUUUUCAUCG
rnacentral:rRNA from 1 species